rnacentral:rRNA from 1 species
CAUACGGGGUGCUGCAUGGCUGUCGUCAGCUCGUGCCGUGAGGUGUUAGGUUAAGUCCUGCAACGAGCGCAACCCCUGUUUCCAGUUGCCAUCAAGUAAAGUUGGGGGACUCUGGAGAGACUGCCUGCGCAAGCAGAGAGGAAGGUGGGGAUGACGUCAAGUCAGCACGGCCCUUACGUCCAGGGCUACACACGUGCUACAAUGGCCGGUACAGAGGGCAGCGACCUGGUGACAGGUAGCGAAUCUCCAAAGCCGGUCUCAGUUCGGAUCGGAGUCUGCAACUCGACUCCGUGAAGCUGGAUUCGCUAGUAAUCGGAUAUCAGCAAUGAUCCGGUGAAUACGUUCCCGGGCCUU